rnacentral:misc_RNA from 1 species
AAGUCGUAACAAGGUCUCCGUUGGUGAACCAGCGGAGGGAUCAUUGCUGGAAGAAACGCCCCUCGUGGGCGACUCCCCAGAUACCCUUAUGUGAACCCUACCCUUUAUGUUGCCUCGGCACUGGUUGGCCUUGGGGAAGGGGGGAGGUGCGUCCUACCCCCAACCCCGCGGGUCUGUGUGGCUCUUGCUAUCCGUAGUGAGAAGAACGCAGACUUUUUGUAAGGCCCCCUCCCGUCCCGCACGGGAGGAGCCGACCGGCCGGCGGCCCCAGACCCCUUGAAACUCUUGUUAUUUUUUCGACCCCUCAGUCUGAAGCUAAGAACAUAUAGUUCGUUAAUAUCAAA